UACGUAGGGGGCUAGCGUUGUCCGGAAUCAUUGGGCGUAAAGAGCGUGUAGGCGGCCCGGUAAGUCCGCUGUAAAAGUCAAAGGCUCAACCUUUGAAUGUCAGUGGAUACUGCCGGGCUCGAGUCCGGAAGAGGCGAGUGGAACUCCUGGUGUAGCGGUGGAAUGCGCAGAUAUCAGGAAGAACACCAACGGCGAAGGCAGCUCGCUAGGACGGUACUGACGCUGAGACGCGAAAGCGUGGGGAGCGAACAGG
rnacentral:rRNA from 1 species